CCAGCUCAGAGCAUGGGCAGAAUCACUUUGCAACUGUCUGUGCUUAGCUGUGCAGACAGCCCUGCAGGCAGGCAGGUGUUGUUAGUAGUGUGCACGGCACAGUGGCCUACGGACAGACAGCUCUCCCUCUUCAGAGGUUCUUCCUAUACAUCUGUUGGAAAGAGCUGACUCUGUCCUGCUGCACUACUCCAAGCAUCAGUCUGGGGCAGCUGCAUGUGUGGUACCCGCUCCUGUGCCAUGGGAUCCCCAGCUUUAGCUCCAGCACAAGGAUCAGCACCCACCACAGUAUGAAAAUUUGUCCAUCGAUCAGACCACAGAAUAUGUAACUUAUAGGUCAGAGAAAUACCAGCACGAGGCCUUGCACUUUAUGUGUGUGAAAAUGCUCUUCCAGAAUGCAUCCAUUUUUUUAAGUGAAGCAAUUGGAGCAAGAUGGUCAGAAAUUUUUGUUUUACUAAUGAGAUCAAGCUUUACUUAGGGGAAAAAAAGUCUCAUUAUUAUUCUUUUUAUAACUAUAUCAGUUUUCAGUUGAAUACUAGACACAGUAUCCGGAACACAUAAAGCAGUAUCCAGAACAAAUAACUGCAUAAGGCAGCAAUUGCUUUUCGUUUCAAUACUCAUAUUUACAAACACUGGAUAAUCGCAGGGUUCCUACUUUUAAUGUGGCCCAUGAUAUUAAAUGAUUUGUGAACUGUGAGCAAGCUUCUUACAAGUAUUACAAUGGGUUGUAAAAGUACUUCUUAUUGUGAAUUCCAUUCUGUAAAUUAACUAAGGAUUUUAUUUUCUAUUUUCCCAAGCUUCUACUUGUAUCUUCAACACUGUGCAGUCUCUCCUAUAGAACAAAGCAUACCUUAAAAUAAAAAAUGUUUCGACCAUUGAUUUUGCUGCUUUAGAAACACUACCUUUAGGAGGCAAUAUAGAAAUGGAGGUAAAGUACUGUAUCUUGAAAUGGUCCAUACAGUAGGAAGCCUUUUUCACAUUACUGCUUGCUAAACCUUGUAUAUUUGUAUGCCUAGCUUUUCAGUCUGCCUCAACUUUAUUUAAGGAUGAAUGUUGAUGAAUGCAACUUUAAUUAGCUCUUUGGUCUUUCCAGUGGUUGUCUAUUGUGUCAGAAUAUAAAUGAUGUUAAACACUUUUUGCCGCUACAGUUAAGUUGGUCAAGAGUGAUUAUUUGGGAAGCUGUGUCCUCACAGUGAAGAUUAAUUUAUUCAUUAGUAGCUCAUAUAAGUUACGCUAAAACAGCUGGAAAUUCUCUUGCAGUUUCUAAAACAAAAUUCUCUUCUUUCACCCAGUGAGCAGAAAGCCCAUUAAUCCUAAAUUAAUUAUAAGCAAGCAAGCUUCAUCUUAGUAGCAUCAAACUAUCUGAAAUUUGAAAAUUGAAAUAAAUUAAGAAAGAGAAUAUGGCAAAGUGUUCCUUUUUCUCAUCUGAUAUUUCUCAGAUGACAUCCAGAAAUGGUUUGAUUGACUUGUUUUCCUUGUACUUUUCCCGUACUUUUCUGAUUUCAGUAUCAUUGUUCUGUGGCUAAUCCACUACUUCUAACCAUUUAAAAAUUAAUUGCAUUAAGAAAGUAUUUAGUAAAUAAAAUUGCCAUAAAAUUUUCAUUAGAAAAUAUGCUGUUUCCCAAAAACUAUUCAAACUAAGAUAUUGAACCUGAGUACCAAAAAAGUAAGUGGGUUCAGGCUUGCUCAGAAAAUCUCUGCAACAAAUUUACAACCCAGAAAAAGAACAAGGAAAUUAAACUCAUUGUUUUCUAUUGAAUAUUUUAAAGGGUUAGGAAGAAUGUCACUAACAGAGAAGCCAUUUUUUUACUUUUAUUUUUUCACCUGGAGUGUUUGUCAUUUCUCUUUCCAUGAGCCCCUCCAACUCACCAUUUCAAAAAUGUAUGAUCAGUAAGAAAAUAAGAAAAGCCUCCAAUAAUUAAAUUUUAUACUGAAAAAAAAAUAAUAAUAAAACUAACCAGACAACCAACCAACCAACAUACAAACAAA